UCCGUUGGUGAACCAGCGGAGGGAUCAUUACCGAGUGUAAAAACUCCCAAACCAUUGUGAACCUACCACUGUUGCUUCGGCGGCCUCGCCCCGGGCGCGUUCGCGCGGCCCGGACCCAGGCGUCCGCCGGAGGCUCCAAACUCUUGUCUUUUAGUGUAUUUCUGAGUGGCAUAAGCAAAUAAAUCAAAACUUUCAGCAACGGAUCUCUUGGUUCUGGCAUCGAUGAAGAACGCAGCAAAAUGCGAUAAGUAAUGUGAAUUGCAGAAUUCAGUGAAUCAUCGAAUCUUUGAACGCACAUUGCGCCCGCCAGUAUUCUGGCGGGCAUGCCUGUCUGAGCGUCAUUUCAACCCUCAGGACCCGUUCGCGGGACCUGGCGUUGGGGAUCAGCCUGCCCCUGGCGGCGGCUGGCCCUGAAAUCCAGUGGCGGUUCCCUCGCGAACUCCUCCGUGCAGUAAUUAAACCUCUCGCGGCAGGAUAGCGGUUGAACCACGCCGUUAAACCCCCCACUUCUCAAGGUUGACCUCAGAUCAGGUAGGAAUACCCGAAAGARCUUAAGCAUAUCAAUAAGCGGAGGA
rnacentral:rRNA from 1 species